CUGAUAAUGAAAAUAAUGGAUAUAAAUUAUUAUUUUAAAUAAAAAAACCGACACUAAAAGUGAACACUAAUAUUAAAUACACAAUAAAAAACAAAAAAUUAUAUUCUAAGAUUCUUGAAACAGUACCUGAUCGCCUACACUACAAUUCAAAACGUUAUUUCUUCGACAUUCGCCAGUCGCACAACGUAUGAGCAACCACGAAUGGUGAAUGAUUGUUGUCAAAUAAAUAAAUGAGGUGUAUUUAAUACUUACGUGAAUUGAUUCCGUAACAAGAUAUCGGACUAUUGGAGCAUGUAGCAACAUCUCGAAAACCUCGGACCGGCUUGAUAAAUACCAACACCAUUUACAUUUUACAGAGACACCCAGCAAUUACCACAAUAGCCACUACAGCUGCAUGUUUUUCACGCAAGUAUGAAUCAAAAAAAUAAAGGACAGCGUAACUAAAUAAAAAAUUAGGUACUAGACUGUUAAUAAUUUAACAAUUCUAUUACCUAUUAGAUUAACUAAAGAGGCUGUGUAAACACAAAUUAAUCAUAUUGUGUUUUAAUAGUAAAGAGAAACAAGUGUAUAUUUCAGGAUAAUCCAAACAGCAGUAAAGUAGUAAUCAAGGAAAAUAUACAUCAAGCAGUGCAUAUUAACAUUAACGAAAGCCAUAAGACAAAGAAUCCCAAUAUGGUGGAAAACGAAAUUGAGCCUAUAAGCAGUAUAUUAUUUUAUUUUUGGAUACAUAAUCCCUUUCACUGUAUAACAAAGUUUUCAUCACAAACAAUUGAAGCAAUAGCCAUUUGAAUCACAAUAUAAUGGAGAUGAAGGAUGAUAUGACCUCAUACUUAAUAUGAUGAUAUGAAUCGUUAAAAAUUGAAAAUCUUCAUAAUUCAUUAAAAUAUUGUGUAAUUAUACUGUUAUAAUUUGUAUUAUGCUAAUGAAAGACUAAGUAUCCAUCACACCCAUUUAGGUCUUUUAACAUUUAAAUAAGAUAUAAAUGAACACUGAAUAUAAUAUAGCUGCAUUAAUUAUAUGUUUAUAUAAAAUUUUUAAAAAUUGAAAAACAAUUUUUUUAUUAUGUAUUAAGUGUAUUUAUACUAUAACAACUUUUGUUCUGCUAAUAAAUAUUUAAGUAUUCAACCCACAUAUUUAAAUCUUUUGCUAUUCAAAUAAGAUAUAA